AUUGAACGCUGGCGGCAUGCUUUACACAUGCAAGUCGAACGGCAGCGCGGGCUUCGGCCUGGCGGCGAGUGGCGAACGGGUGAGUAAUACAUCGGAACGUGCCCAGUAGUGGGGGAUAGCUCGGCGAAAGCCGGAUUAAUACCGCAUACGACCUGAGGGUGAAAGCGGGGGAUCUUCGGACCUCGCGCUAUUGGAGCGGCCGAUGGCGGAUUAGCUAGUUGGUGGGGUAAAGGCCUACCAAGGCGACGAUCUGUAGCUGGUCUGAGAGGACGACCAGCCACACUGGGACUGUGACACGGCCCAGACUCCUACGGGAGGCAGCAGUGGGGAAUUUUGGACAAUGGGCGAAAGCCUGAUCCAGCAAUGCCGCGUGUGUGAUGAAGGCCUUCGGGUUGUAAAGCACUUUUGGCGGGAACGAAAAGGACUGUGCCAAUACCACGGUUCGAUGACGGUACCCGCAGAAUAAGCACCGGCUAACUACGUG
rnacentral:rRNA from 1 species